CGGGAGAGCGGGAACCGGGCGACGGGCGAUGAGGCCGAGGUUUCUAUUACGUGGACCCUCGUCAGCUUGAGAACAGACCCAUCACCACUGGGAAGUCCAAAUUUGAGAGUCUUCAUUAGCCAGCCGACUGUCUCACACAAGACCCCAAGAAUGGCUAUUGGGAGAACAGCCCCGAACAUAAGGCUGCAGGGGUUUUAUACCGAAGGGAGUGCUGUACUGAGCGCAGUGUGGGGAGAGUGACAAAUGAGGCACCAUCUCUGCUUACGGUCUACCUGGGGCUGAAACAUCGACUCUGGAAAGAAAUGGGAGAAUGGCUGACAAUGCGAAGCCAUAGCCCAUCGUGGGGAUUCUUGCUUUCGGAAUUCCAGGCUCAGUCCUGGCACGCUGCACGGAGAAAGACACGAGCUGCUGCCUCUCAUCUCGCGGCAAGGGGUGUGCCAGUCACCCUCUCUCUGGGCUAAGGAAGCCUCCAGCCUUCCUGUCCUCUGGAGAGUCCCAAGUGUGGCGAGACCCCAGGGCAGAGGUGGUCACCAGCCACUGGGAAUCGGCCAUCUGCCACAUCUGGUGACCUCCGAACGUCUUAGGUAAAAACUGAAGCCUCAAUGUGAACAGGGUGGUGGGUCAGUGAGCCAAGAGUCACUCACAGUGGCCUGCUGGAGACUGCGCUUUACAGUGAACAGGAGGCAGGGGGAGCAGGGACGGGCAGCAUUUGGAAAUGGAGGGGCUGGGGAAUAGCUCAGUGGCAGAGAGCGUGCUUAGCAUUCAUGAAGCCCUGGUUUCGAUGCCCAGUACCAAAAACAAACAAAAAAGCAGCAGCAGGGAAGAUUCCAAGACAGGGUAUGAGUCACCAAGUUAGGGAGGCUGAGCUGGCAGUGCAGGGCAGGCCACGGAGCAGGCGGUGCUGGGGACCACAGAGGGCCCUCCUGGCAAGUAACGGACGAAGUGAUUUCAGGGUCAGGACACUGGCAGCAGAGUGCUACCUAUACGACCCCACCAAGCUGGAUCCAGCAGGCAGCGGGAAGGUCCUACCACGACUCCACUGACCAAGACCUCUGUGCUAACUUCUUGACCCAGGGAAAGCCAAAGGCAUGUUCAUGGCCCUGGCUUCCUGACGCUCUUGGGCAGAGGGUCACCGGGUCCUAGCUACAUGAUGGGAAGUGCAGUAUUGACCAAAAGCGGAGCUUGCAGCACCCUCACCUUGUACCUGGCUCAAAGCCUGAAUCAGUGGAAGCCAGGUUAAGUCAGGGAACAGCAUCCCAGGCAGAGGGAACAGCACAGGUGGGGCAUGGAGGGCAGAACAGCAGAGAUGGGCUCUGAGCUGCCAGCUGCAUCUGAGGGAGAUUUCCUCCCCUCUGGAAACUGAAUGCAGCACAGAUUGUAAAGGGGAGAACUGAGAGGAUGUGAUGAGACAAGGGAAUAAUAGGAAUUACUAUAGCUGUGUUAUGUAGUAAUAAUAAGCUGUAUUUGGUAUUUGCCUGGACUUGUAAAACUAAAAUCAUAAAAGGCACCUGGUGUGUGGCAGAUGACACUCCUGAACAAUGCGAUGUGAACCCUUAUCUAUGAUUUGAGUGGGGGCUCCUGGUCUAGUCGUGUUCUGGUCUUUAUCAAUGAAGACCAGAGCGUGGCUGGGCUGAAGAUCACUACUUAGACCCCUGGACUUCUGUCAGCAGCACUGUGACCAGAGGACUCCACGUCGCUGUCUCUGACUGCCCCGGCUGCUGUCCACUCCAUCACUGAUUGCUGAUCGACCAUUGUCACCGAGGCCAGAUGACUGCCACCCAGCCUCCAGCUUAUCGGACACCCAAGGACAUCCAGAGACACAUCCAGAGACAUCCAAGGAGCUGAGAGAGGCUACGGCUGAGAAGAAUCCCCUCGGUCUUGCUGACUGACUUCUUGGCUGAGACAUUGCACUGAGUAAGUCCAUAGGGACUGGACUCGAGGUGAACAAGGGAGUGAAUCUUCGAUGUAUUGGUGCCUAGGAAUGUUAAGUCAAGUGUGCACCGCAUGAAUAAAAUCCAC